rnacentral:rRNA from 1 species
CGGCAAUGGAGGAAACUCUGACCGAGCAACGCCGCGUGAAUGACGAAGUACUUCGGUAUGUAAAGUUCUUUUAUCGAGGAAGAAAAGCAAAUGGCGAACCAUUUGUUUGCCGGUACUUGAUGAAUAAGCCCCGGCUAAUUAUGUGCCAGCAGCCGCGGUAAGACAUAAGGGGCAAGUGUUAUCCGGAAUUAUUGGGCGUAAAGGGUGCGUAGGCGGUCUAGUAAGUCAGUGGUGUAAUGGCAACGCUUAACGUUGUCCGGCUAUUGAAACUGCUAAACUUGAGUUAGAUAGAGGCGAGUGGAAUUCCAUGUGUAGCGGUAAAAUGCGUAAAUAUAUGGAGGAACACCAGAGGCGUAGGCGGCUCGCUGGGUCUUAACUGACGCUGAGGCACGAAAGCGUGGGGAGCAAACAGGAUUAGAUACCCUGGUAGUCCACGCCGUAAACGAUGAGUACUAAGUGUCGGGUUAAACCGGUACCGAAGUUAACACAUUAAGUACUCCGCCUGAGUAGUACGUACGCAAGUAUGAAACUUAAAGGAAUUGACGGGACUCCGCACAAGCGGUGGAUCAUGUUGUUUAAUUCGAAGAUACCCGAAAAACCUUACCAGGUCUUGACAUGUUUUUGCAAAAUGAUAGUAAUAUCGUGGAGGUUACCAGAAACACAGGUGGUGCAUGGUUGUCGUCAGCUCGUGUCGUGAGAUGUUAGGUUAAGUCCUAAAACGAGCGAAACCCUUAUCGUUAGUUGCCAGCACGUUAUGGUGGGGACUUUAACGAGACUGCCAAUGAUAAAUUGGAGGAAGGUGAGGAUCACGUCAAAUCAGCAUGCCCCUUAUGACCUGGGCUACAAACGUGAUACAAUGGCUGUUACAAAGAGUAGCUGAA